GAUGAACGCUAGCGAUAGGCCUAACACAUGCAAGUCGAGGGGCAGCGGGGUAGCAAUACCGCCGGCGACCGGCGCACGGGUGAGUAACACGUAUGCAACCUACCCAUAACUGUGGGAUAGCCCGUCGAAAGACGGAUUAAUACCGCAUAACACAGGGGCUCCACAUGGAGAUAUUUGUUAAAGAUUUAUUGGUUAUGGAUGGGCAUGCGCAGGAUUAGGUAGUUGGUGAAGGUAACGGCUCACCAAGCCAUCGAUCCUUAGGGGAACUGAGAGGUUAAUCCCCCACACUGGUACUGAGACACGGACCAGACUCCUACGGGAGGCAGCAGUGAGGAAUAUUGGUCAAUGGACGAGAGUCUGAACCAGCCAAAUCGCGUGAAGGAAGACGGUAUUAUGUAUUGUAAACUUCUUUUAUCAGGGAAUAAAGUGCAUCACGCGUGGUGUUUUGUAUGUACCUGAUGAAUAAG
rnacentral:rRNA from 1 species